rnacentral:lncRNA from 1 species
ACUGAACGGGCCUUGGAGCCAGCAAAGAAAAGUUCUGCCGAGUUGUGAACUUUUUUUCUUUUUAACAGUUUAUUAAAUCACUAUUCUCCACUGCCCAUAAUAUAGAAUCAAUCUCAACAUUAAUCAAUACAUGAAGUUGUAAAGAAAAUAUAGCAUAUUUUUUGCAAUGGAAUAUUGUUCAGCUAUAGAAGGCAUGAAAUUCUUUUACAAUGUAGGAAAUUAUGUUAAAUGAGUGAGGCAUAGAAAGGCAAACAUCACAUCAUCUUAUUUAUUAGUAGAAUACAAAAAAUAUGUCAUAGAAGUUCAGAGUAGAAUAGUGAUUAGCAGAUAUUGGAAGUAUAGAGGAAAGGGGAGAUAGCAAGAGGCUCAUUAAUGAAUACAAUCUUACAGUUUGAGAGAAAGAAUAAGUUCUGAUCCUCUCCGGCAUGGAAUGGUGAAUAUAAUGAAAAACAAUGGAUUAAUAUAUCUCAACACUUAGAAGAGAGGAUUUUGUAUGCAUUCACCAUAAAUAAACAAUAAAAGUCUGAGAUGAAGGAUAUGCCAAUUACUCAAAGUUGAACAAUGCCCGAUAUAGGCAGAAAACAAAACAUCAUAAUGUACCUCAUAAAUUUGUACAAACACUAUGUGUCAAUCAAAAUAAUAAUAGAAUAAAUAUCAAGAAGAAAACACAAAAAGCAAACAGUACAAAUGAGAAUGUUGGGUUGGAUGUACUGUUGUACUCUGUUGGUGAAAACUAAAACUAGUGUAACCAUUAUUGUAAAUAGUAGGGAGGUUCCCCAAAAAAUUAAAAAUAGAACUACAAUAUGACACAGAAAUCCCACUACUGGGUAUACAUCCAAAGGAAAUGAAAUUAGUUUCCUGAAGAGAUAUCUGCACUCACAUGUUUACUGCAGCAUUAUUCAUAAUAGCCAAGAAUAUACAGAAUCAACUUGUGUUCAAUGGAUACAUAAAUUAAGAAACUAUGUCAUAUGUAUAUGAAAAUACUACUCAGCCACAAAUAAAAAUCAAAAUGUUAUUGGAAUUUUAAUAUGGAUUGAAUUAAAUCUGUAGACUGCUUGGAUAUUAAAGACAUUUUAAUGAGAAUUUUAAUGAGCA